CAGCGAGACAAAUUUGAGGGAGUGGCAGCGUGACCUGGAGCACAGGGUCGCAGAACUCACUCCCUCAAAUUUUGCCUGGCCACCCCGCCAUCAUCGGCCAUGUAUGUAUAUUUCUGGUUGAGACUGUGCCAUGAAGACAAGAUUCUAGGCAAUUACCAAUUUCCAUUCCAGUGACUUGUGUUACUCCUAAUUUAAACCAGUGUGAGAUUAGAUUUUGCCAAAUCCCUGCUGAAAACAAACCAGCAAAAAGACAAAAAACCUCCACUUUGAAACCUUUCCUUAUGGUGAUAAGGGAGUGAUGUACCUGAUAUGGAAGAAACUACCAUUUCCAUAAAAUUGAUGCCCAUGUCUGAACAAGCCCAUUAUACUUCAUCACAGGUGAGUGACCCGGCAGGUUUUUGUCACAGUUAUCAGCCCCUCUAUAUAAAGGCCAGAGCUGCCAGCUCAGCUCACAAGAUGAGGACAUCCCACCAGACAGGUUGGCUGCCUCCUACGGAGCUGGUGCUCCCGCUGCAGAGAUCUUGAAAGCCAUAAUCUUCUCCGGAAAUGGCAAGGUACAGACGCAGCAGGAGCAGAAGCAGAAGCCGUCGCAGAAGGCGACGAAGGGGAGGCCGCGGGGGUCGACGUGGAAGGAGGAGAAGACGACAUGGCAGAAGGAGAAGAGGUCGUAGAGGUAGAGAGAGAACUCGCAGGAGGAGGAGGAGGAGAAGGAGGAGUUUUUAAUUUCCUGAUUUCUCCCAUUCUCCUGUGCAAGUCAUCGACCCUUCACUCUACAAUAUCUGCUAUGGCAAAAAGAAACAACCCUUCAGUGACGACACCCCGCGAUGACUUCCUAAGAUGCAAGGAACCAGCUACCAUUUGAACAAUGCCACCUGUCAAUAAACUUUGAAAUUUCA